AUUGAACGCUGGCGGCAGGCCUAACACAUGCAAGUCGAGCGGAUGAAGGGAGCUUGCUCCUGGAUUCAGCGGCGGACGGGUGAGUAAUGCCUAGGAAUCUGCCUGGUAGGGGGGGAUAACGUCCGGAAACGGGCGCUAAUACCGCAUACGUCCUGAGGGAGCAAGUGGGUGAUCUUCGGACCUCACGCUAUCAGAUGAGCCUAGGUCGGAUUAGCUAGUUGGUGGGGUAAAGGCCUACCAAGGCGACGAUCCGUAACUGGUCUGAGAGGAUGAUCAGUCACACUGGAACUGAGACACGGUCCAGACUCCUACGGGAGGCAGCAGUGGGGAAUAUUGGACAAUGGGCGAAAGCCUGAUCCAGCCAUGCCGCGUGUGUGAAGAAGGUCUUCGGAUUGUAAAGCACUUUAAGUUGGGAGGAAGGGCAGUAAGUUAAGACCUUGCUGUUUUGACGUUACCAACAGAAUAAGCACCGGCUAACUUCGUG
rnacentral:rRNA from 1 species